rnacentral:rRNA from 1 species
AUGGCUGUCGUCAGCUCGUGUCGUGAGAUGUUCGGUUAAGUCCGCUAACGAGCCGCAACCCUUCGCUGUGUGUUACAAGUGUCACACGGAACUGCCGGUCAUAAACCGGAGGAAGGUGGGAUGACGUCAAGUCAGCAUGGCCUUUAUAUCCUGGGCUACACACACGCUACAAUGGGAAGGGACAAUAGGUUGCGAAGCCGCGAGGCGGAGCCAAUCCAGCAAAAACUUCCCUCAGUUCAGAUUGCAGGCUGCAACUCGCCUGCAUGAAGUUGGAGUUGCUAGUAAACGCAGGUCAGCCAUACUGCGUUGAAUACGUUCCCGGGGCUU